AAACUGAUACCCGGAAAAAAAAAUAUUUUUUUUUCUUGCCCAGUGGUUAGCUUUUAAUGUUACUGAGAAAUUCCGAGAAAAGCUAGCAUCCCAUGCCUACCAAGAGAUAAGUUUUGCAUGGGGCUUGCAAGGGGAACUCAAAAAGCUCGAGGAUAUUUUGUUGACCGUGAAAGCUGUGCUAUUGGAUGCUGAGGAGAAGUGUUUGGCAAAGAAUGGACUAGGCUGCUUGACAUCUCUUAGGUUUUUGUGCAUUGGUGGCUGUGAAAAUUUAGAUUACUUGUUUGAAGAUAUGCGAGGCCUCAAACAUCUUCGAACACUUAUUAUUAUUAGAUGUGAAAGCCUAAUCUCUUUGCCUCAAAGUAUGAAGUACUUCACUGCAUUAGAGACUCUUAUUAUCGGGGAUUGCAAAAACCUCAAUUUGACGAUGGAGGAAGGGAAAGCCGAUCAAGACUUGGCUCGAUUCAGCCUUAAAAGGCUGAUACUCAAAAGGUUACCCGAAUUGGUAGAGUUUCCAGAAUGGCUUCUUCGAGGAUCCACCAACACUCUGCAACUCUUAAAACUAGAAAUGUGUAGAAACCUCAAAGAAUUGCCUGCGUGCCUACAGAAUAUAGUAUCUCUUCAACAAAUUGUGAUUGAGGAUUGUGAUGAAUUGAGCGAAAGAUGUGAACGUGGAAAAGGUGAAGAUUGGUCCAAGAUUGCUCAUAUCCCUAAAAUUGUUCUUGACGGUUCUGAGAUCAAUUCAAUAGAUGAUUCUCACAUCGAUUCAACAAGUGAAGAUUAGAUAUCAUGGCAACUCUGCUGAAAAUGCCAACUGCUGAAUGUAACAAUGUUUGUAUUUGAUGUUGUGCUUGUUCUGUGCUGUAAAUUGCCAAUGCAUGCGUUUUAUAUUGUAAAUAAUGUUUAAGAAACUUGUUAAUCUACUAUUUGUAUCUCUAAACUGUUGUUUCUUUUACUUUUUUAUUGUAAAUAUAAAAAGUAUUUAUAUUGUAAAUAUAAAAAGUAUUUAUGUCCUAAGAAA